UACGGAGGGUGCAAGCGUUAUCCGGAUUCACUGGGUUUAAAGGGUGCGUAGGCGGGUUGAUAAGUCAGUGGUGAAAUCCCCGAGCUUAACUUGGGAACUGCCAUUGAUACUAUUGAUCUUGAAUACCGUGGAGGUCAGCGGAAUAUGUCAUGUAGCGGUGAAAUGCUUAGAUAUGACAUAGAACACCAAUUGCGAAGGCAGCUGGCUACGCGAAUAUUGACACUGAUGCACGAAAGCGUGGGGAUCAAACAGG
rnacentral:rRNA from 1 species